AAAACAAAACAAAACCGUACACACAACAGGAAGGCUGAGGGGACCACCGUCCCUGUACAUGACCCCUGAAUGCUCUUUCCUGUCAGGCUGUGAUGUCCCCUCCUAAGGGGCUCCAGUGGACAGGGACCCAGUUCUAGGACCUUAUCCGGCACACAGAAGUCCGUGGGAAAAUAUCUGACAACGUAAGAAGGACAGAAAAUGAAGAUGCGGACGUGAGACGACAGAAGUUCAGCCGCCUGCACCACCACCCCACUCCGAAACCCCAAAAAGAGAAAGCCAUCACCCUGGAAGUACCCCCACGGAAAGCUCCCAACUCACCAGAAAAGGAUCCGUAAAA